GGGAGUUGUUGAUAAGCUUGCUUAUUGACACCUCUAGUGGCGGACGGGUGAGUAAUACAUAGGAAUCUACCUCGAAGCGGGGGAUAACCCGGGGAAACUCGGACUAAUACCGCAUAACACUAUGAGUAGGAAAGGCGGCGCAAGCUGUCACUUUGAGAUGAGCCUAUGCUGGAUUAGCUUGUUGGUGGGGUAAUGGCCUACCAAGACUGUGAUCAAUAGCUGAUUUGAGAGGAUGAUC
rnacentral:rRNA from 1 species